UACAUAGUUCACUCUCUCUGUCUGAUAGGAGAAAUAAUAAUUGUAGUUACUUCUUCUCAGCUUGUUAAUUUGUUGGAAAAAAAAAGAGCAGAUAUCUACCGGAAUGGAAUUCUUCCCAAAUGGCUAUGUUGUUCGACUCCGGAACCACCAUAAAAAAUACCUUUUUGCCAAAAACGAUCGAGAGACCGUCGGACAGGACAAACAUGGAUCGUACAACGGAACUCGAUGGACCGUCGAGCUUGUAACCGGCUUCAACUCUGUUAUCCGCCUUAAGAGCUGCCACGGCAAGUAUCUCACCGCCUCAGAUCAGCCAUUAAUUCUGGAAGGUUUGGGUAGAAGUAUGAAAGUUGUACAGACCCUGCCGUCACCCGUUGACUCUACAAUCGAUUGGGAGCCGAUCAGGGUUGGGCAACACAUCAGGCUCAAAAGCCGCCGCCACUCCGUUGAUAGCUUCCUUAGGGGCAGUGGAUCGUUACGGUUUUACUCGGUCAGCCAUUAUCCAGCUCAAGUUGAUACAGAUAAGGAUAGCUUGGACUGGGAUGUUGAGCACCCUCUGGUUUUGGACAAGGGAAUACCAUGGGUAAAUGGCAGACAGGAGUUGGCAUAGUUGGUGCAGCAGCAGGUGCAGUAUAUACGAGUCAUUCUCAUGAUAAUGCAGGAGAUGAGGACGCUGAUGGAGGUGUGGACAUGUGGGAGUUCUAAUAAUAAGAGAUGUUGUUUGGAACAACGGCCAGGCGGCCACCAAUAGUCCCAUUUUAAUGAAUUUAUAGGUUGCGAAGAGGAUGAUAUUGAACCCCUUGUUAAUGCUGGAAUUUAUGGAAGUGUAAAGUCUCAAUUAAGUAGCGUGAAAACCGCAAAGGGUCAGACCUCUAAAGUCAUAUUUGAAAAUAGAAAAUCAUUUUUUCAACUAUUGAUUCA